rnacentral:misc_RNA from 1 species
GAUGAAGAACGUAGCGAAAUGCGAUAAGUAAUGUGAAUUGCAGAAUUCAGUGAAUCAUCGAAUCUUUGAACGCACAUUGCGCCCCUUGGUAUUCCGAGGGGCAUGCCUGUUCGAGCGUCAUUAUAACCCCUCAAGCUCAGCUUGGUGUUGGGGCCUGCUGCACUGGCAGCCCUUAAAAUCAGUGGCGGCGCCAUCUGGCUCUAAGCGUAGUAAUUCUUCUCGCUAUGGAGUCCUGGUGGAUGCUUGCCAUCAACCCCCAAUUUUUCUAUGGUUGACCUCGGAUCAGGUAGGGAUACCCGCUGAACUUAAGCAUACCAAUAAGCGGAGGA